CCUUUCAAAUCCUUACCGCGCCUGUUCCUCAUCCGAUUCCUCCGGCUCUCCUUUGCCUCCGGUACUGCGCAUGUUUGAAACGCUUCAGAUUGCGCGCGCACCAGUGGGCGUAUACAUUCAGAGAUAAUGGGGACUGCAGAUGCUGGUGAAUCCGAGAUAACUCGUGUGGGUCUGAAAUAUUAGCUCUUGUGCUCCUAAAAUGCUUCUUGGCCUGCUGUGUUCAUCCAGCUCCACACUUUGUCAUCUGGGCAAAUGCAUUCCCACCCAGAAUGCUGGGAAAAACACGCUGCCAUUGAGCAGCAAUAUUGAUACAACGAAGAUAUGAAGGAAUAUGCCAGGACGAAAGAUACAGGAAUCCAUUGAUACAAGUGCAUGGUCCCUGUCUGUCCUGGUUCUAAUAAACAGCAGAACAAAGAGAUAUGAACACACACUCAACGGAUAAAGUGAACAAAAUAUACACCUUUCCUGUGUAGAAUAUUUGAAUUUCGCCGCAAGAAGAAUUCAUUUAUUGGUGAUAAAAUCAUUUCAAAUUUCAAAGCUGAACGAUGUCAGAGAAAGAGCGUCCAGAAAUGAUGCUUGCCUUGUGGGGAGAGAAGAUUUCGGAGACACAGUAAAGGAAUACAAGUCCAAAGAACUGGACACUAUCGUGGCUUGGGCGAACAAGUGACAGGUAUCAUUUGCUACAUAUAAAUGGCAAGCAAUGACAUUCUCAAAUAAGACAAAAUAUAAUCACAUUUCUUUGACAUUCAAUGGCAUUACCGUCACUAAAUGCCCCACUGUUAACAUGCAGGUGGAUCCCAUUUACCAGAAACUCAACUGGACUUACCAGUUAUACACAGUGAAUACAAGUGUGAGUCAAAACCGAUGAAAUACUGCUGUGAGUAACUCACCUGCUGACUUCCCAAAGCCUGUCCAUCUUCCAUAAAAGUGAAAUGGAAUAACUUCCCACUGGAUGGGUGUAACUGCGUUAAGACUGAAGAAGCUUGAGACCAUCCAAGACAAUGCAAACCACAUCACUGGCACUACACCCAUAAACAUCCACCCCCUCCACCACCAACCUUCAGUUACACCAAUGGGUUUUGGGUCAGCUGAUACACAGGAAAACCAAUGACCACCAUUCCCCCUGCUGAUCGCUCAGUAUCCUGACUUGGAAAUGUAUCGCAAUUCUUUCACAGUUGCUGUGUCAAAAUUCUGGAAUUCCCUCCCAAACAACAUAGUGGGGCGAAUUAUAAAACUAAGACUGCUGCAGUUCAAGAAGCCAGCUCACCACCACUCCCUCAAGGACAAUGAGGGAUGGGCAAUAAAUGCUGGCUAGCUACCAACAUUCACAUCCCACAAACAAAUUAACAAAAAAACAUUGGUGGGCUGCUAUCUAAGAUGAAGGAGGUAGUUUUUUUAUAUGAAUGCUAAAUAUAUUGAUGGUCAACAAGAGAGUCAAAAGGUUAUUAUGAUAAAUAGCUUGUGGAGUUGAAGCUACACUCAGUUCAGACAUGAUUUUAUUUAAUGACCAAGCAGGCGAGAGUGGCUAAAUGGCACAUAUCUGCUCCUAGUGCUGACAUGUACAUGUAUAGUCAUAUUGAAGCUAUUCACAGACAUUCGGGUGUAAGCUCAAAAGAUCAAAAUUUAAGUAAAAGCUGAGACAUUUGACUGAAUGAAA